UACGAAGGGGACUAGCGUUGUUCGGAAUCACUGGGCGUAAAGCGCACGUAGGCGGAUAUGUCAGUCAGGGGUGAAAUCCCGGGGCUCAACCUCGGAACUGCCUUUGAUACAGCAUAUCUUGAGUCCGAUAGAGGUGGGUGGAAUUCCUAGUGUAGAGGUGAAAUUCGUAGAUAUUGGGAAGAACACCGGUGGCGAAGGCGGCGACCUGGUCCGGGACUGACGCUGAGGCGCGAAAGCCAGGGGAGCAAACGGG
rnacentral:rRNA from 1 species